UACGGAGGGUGCAAGCGUUAAUCGGAAUUACUGGGCGUAAAGCGCACGCAGGUGGCUGAGUCAGUCGAUUGUGAAAGCCCUGGGCUUAACCUGGGAAUUGCAGUCGAUACUACUCAGCUAGAGUAUGGGAGAGGGUAGUGGAAUUCCCGGUGUAGCGGUGAAAUGCGUAGAUAUCGGGAGGAACAUCAAGUGGCGAAGGCGGCUACCUGGCCCAAUACUGACACUCAGGUGCGACAGCGUGGGGAGCAACAGG
rnacentral:rRNA from 1 species